AAUUGAAAAAGGCAAACUUAUCGAAAGGUAAAGGACGCAAAGCUACGAGUCUAAGGUCAUUGGCUAGGAUAGUCGGGUUGCCAAA
rnacentral:ncRNA from 2 species